AAAAACAUGGCUCUUUGUCUAUAUAAAUAUAAAGAGUCUAGCCUGCCCGGUGAAAAUUUUUAACGGCCGCGGUACUCUGACCGUGCAAAGGUAGCAUAAUCAUUUGCCUUAUAAUUGAAGGCUAGUAUGAAUGGUUUGACGAGAACAACACUGUCUCCUUUUUAUUUUCAAGAAUUUAACUUUUAGGUGAAGAGGCCUAAAUUUCAUUGAAGGACAAGAAGACCCUGUCGAGCUUAAAAGACAUCAUAGAAUCUUAUAUAUCUUUAAAUGAAUUUUCUAUUAAGCUUUUUAGUUGGGGCGACUGAGGAACAAAAAAAGCUUCUUAAAAAUAACAGACAGUCAUGUUUAGAUCCAGCAAAAACUGAUCAAAGAAAUUAGUUACCGCAGGGAUAACAGCAUAAUCUCUCUUGAGAGACCUAAUCGAAAGAGGGGGUUGUGACCUCGAUGUUGGACUAGAAUAUCCUAAAGAUGCAGAAGUCUUUGAGGGCUGGUCUGUUCGACCAUUAAAAUUCUACGUGAUCUGA
rnacentral:rRNA from 1 species